rnacentral:lncRNA from 1 species
GUGACAAUCAUAAAUAUUAAAUGUAGCUGCCAAGGUUUGUUGCAUGUUUGAAAAAUAACAUUGUAAAAAACAGUCCAGAAUAUACAGAGUCUUGGUCAUGCUCCUGGCCAUCCCUGACAGUGUCAGGAGGAGUAACUGUGCAUAGACAAUCCCCCUGACACCAUUAUGGAGUGCUAGGAGUGAACUGUUGUGCAAGACAUGCUGGCAGACUGCUGAGACAAAGGGUGGAAAUAGAUGAGACCCUGACACACCACCCCGGAAGCUGACAGAGCUGACUCGUUCUUUUACCUCAUAAACCCACCCCCCCAACCACAAAGGCGCUGUCAUCUAGAGUAUGUAUUACUGUCACCCUAAAUGACCCAGUUAACAUGUGAAGAGGCCACCUGACUGAAGUCAACACGGUGACAGUCAUGUAACACUUUCUAUCCUCUAAGAUAAAAACAAGCCUCAUUUGCAAUUGAAGGCAAGCUGAUCAUCCUAUCUGCACACUAACCAUAUCUGAUCGUUACCUCAUUCUAAAAUACAUUACAAAAGGAAAAACCCAAGAAAUAACAUUAAAAAAAAUUCACAAAAUGGUUAAGUGGGAUAAAUAGGAUUGUGUGUCUCGAGCAGGAGGUCGAGUACCAUUUAGGCUCUCUCUCCCCUUAUCCUGCGGGCCAGCUGGAUGUCUUUGGGCAUGAUGGUGACACGCUUGGCGUGGAUGGCGCACAGGUUGGUAUCCUCAAACAGACCCACCAGGUAUGCUUCGCUGGGCGCCAAUGGCAGCACUCUGGAAACGCAGGUCCGUCUUGAAGUCCUGGGCGAUUUCUCUCACCAGGCGCUGGAAGGGCAGCUUGCGGAUCAGCAGCUCAGUAGACUUCUGGUAACGACGGAUCUCCCUCAGAGCCACUGUUCCUGGCCUGGGAAACAGUAAAACGUUAGCAUGAAUACUUACAUCAUAAACAGACCUGUUAGUGACCCACUUCCUUCAGGUUACAUCUAUAUGUAAACAAACAUGUUGGGAAAACAGGUUGAACUGUUCUAAGUACCUGUAACGAUGGGGCUUCUUCACUCCUCCGGUGGAUGGCGCACUUUUCCUGGCCGCCUUUGUGGCGAGCUGCUUCCUUGGCGCCUUUCCUCCGGUGGACUUACGGGCGGUCUGCUUGGUACGAGCCAUUUCUCACUAGGAAAAUAUAUUUAAGUAAGUCCGAAAAUGAUUUGAAAUGCCUUCAAAAUGAGACAUUACAUUUUCUAUCGCGGUCGAUGGGAAAAGGCGGCUAAAAAUGAAGCAACAUUUUCUACAAAAGCAGAAACGCUGAAAUGUUGCAGCCAAUUUAUCCCACAUCACUUUUGAUAGUUAAACAAUAGUUGCAAUAACUGAAACAAUUUAGCGUCAUUAUAACAAUCGUUACCAUUUCAACGUUACCCUCCCCCACAGCUAACGUAAAUGCACCGCUGGGAGGCGCUUCGUCGGUUCCAGUCGCGCUCGAUUAUGAACGCCACCCCGCCUUCCAGCUUGCUGCCUCGGCCCAGUUGCCAACAUAGCAUAAAUUGCACUGCAGUCUUUGUUCGUUUGAGCGGGCACGAACAGCAUACAUCGAAAGAAUAAAACUUCUCGUGAACGUUGUGCUAACUAGUUUGUCCACUUGUACUUAAGCAUCGUGGAGGAGAAAAGCCCAAUCAGAACGCAAUAAAAAAAAAAAAAAAACAUCGAAAGGAGAAAGCAACUGACAUUAGUUACAACUUCUGACCGACGACUGACCUAGCGUUAGCACUAUGGCUAACGUUAGCUAGAAACAGCCAUCGAAACCCCACGCUGUUUGAAUCGCUGCAUUGAGUCACAGCUAGACAGUCAAGGUAGACCAGCAGACCGUACUCCUCUUCUUUGAGACACACAACGCGAUUAAUGGAAAACGGUGAUGAAUCAAUUUUUAUACUUUCUCAUGACGUCAACUAACCGAAUUCUAAAACCGGUUGGUUGAGAACGAGAAACUCGUAAGACCAUUGGUUAAAAAUCCAUCAAAGUGGCUCACUCAUUGGUUAACAAAAUCAAACAUCCCAUUGGUUAUUUUCUGUCCUCUGUAUCCAAUCAGAGCGACCGAAAUAUUAUCGCAAAAUACUUGGGUUGAAAAUAUUGCAGAAAAUAUAUAAACAUUGUUGUUUCAACAAAAUAUUCU